ACCAAACCAAAUCAGCCUCUCCAUUGGUAAUUGUAGUACAAUAAACAAACAAUAAUGGACCCAAAUGAAUCCUCUCUAUCUCUCUCUCAACUCUCAACAUACACAUAUGAUCCCAGCAACAACAACAACAAAAAAUCUAAAUGGAAUGAAUAAAAAUGCCAAUAAAAUUUAUGAAACUUCCAUAAAUUUAUGAAAGUUCCAUUGGUAAUUGUAGUACAAUAAACAAACAAUAAUGGACCCAAAUGAAUCCUCUCUAUCUCUCUCUCAACUCUCAACAUACACAUAUGAUCCCAGCAACAACAACAACAAAAAAUCUAAAUGGAAUGAAUAAAAAUGCCAAUAAAAUUUAUGAAACUUCCAUAAAUUUGACCUAAUAAAAGCUGCUCACAAAAGCCAAACUGACCAAAACAACAACUGAAGACACCAACACACUCGAUGCCGUUACACCAUACGCUCCGUUUCCUUUCGGUGCUGUUGAGUUCUGGUUCGACCCCGGUGGUGGUGACAUCACGUCCCCGGACGGAGUAUCUCCGGACGGUGUUGGUGCGGUCCCGACAGAGCUAGGAGGAGACGAGGUUGGAGUAGUAGUGGCUGCCGGAGCUGGGACUGGAGAUGUUACUGGGUUAGUACUUGGGGCAUGUGAGGGUGAUGAUGAUGAAGAUGGAGCAGUUGCUGGAGCUGGAGCUGGGGCUGAGCCUUGUGGUGGCGCAGCCGAAGGAGGAGUUUGACGCUGCCUGACGGCGAGAACGAUGAUGAUCAGCUUCUGACCAUUGGCGCAGUUACCAUCUUGGCCACUGAUGAAGUAGAACGGUCCAGAC
rnacentral:lncRNA from 1 species